rnacentral:rRNA from 1 species
UAAGGUGACUAUAGCGGCGGGGUUCCACCUCUUCCCAUUCCGAACAGAGAAGUUAAGCCCGCUUGCGCCGAUGGUACUGCUAAUUGUGGGAGAGUAGGUAGUCGCCGACC